CCAAGUAUGAGCAGAAUGUGACAAGCAACACUGAGAUUGAAAAAGCAUGAAGGAUCCAGAAAACCUCAUCGUCUGUGCCAUCAGUCUUACCUGGUGGAUAACGUUCAAUGACUGGAUGGUUGUCCACCUGGAGAGUGGCAUUGCCACCACUGCGUGUGAAGCGUACAACAUGGUACUUGCCAUCAUUUACAAUGACAGCGGGCUCAUCGAUGGUGAUGUCAUCUGUCCCCACAUUGAAGAUGACACCGAUCUUUCCUUGAUCCUGCACGCAGAGAGCCAAGAAUGAAUGUGACUCAUUAAACAAAUGACACAAAGUUGUGGGCAAGACUGUCGACUACAGGGCUCCAGCACCACACCACUGCAAACACUGAGUCUGGGUCCAACACUACAGAAAUCCAAAAAUGAGGGCACAGCUUGUCCCUGAACUGAUUUCACAGAAUUGAGAAAAACGGCACAUAAUCCAAGAUGGGCCGCAUAGAUUGAAUUUAUUGAACAGGAUUAAAUCUGCAGAUUUGCAUUUGUGUAGCUUUUAACAGGAUUUUACUUUAUGCAUUGUGUAGUGCUGCGAUGCUUUUCUUGUCAGAUCAAUGAGCGCAUCAUGCAUGCUUCAUCAAGACUUGCAUGUCUCCCAAAAUCUUUUUUUUUCUGAGCAUGAAAAAUGUAUUAUUUACCAUCAUUAUCAUUCACCUGGUGUCGUCUGACUUACUGAUUACUGAUUAUCAAUAAAUCAUGAGAAUGCACUUGAAUGUGCCCAAAGCUUA